AAAGUGGGAAGCAAUUUUCAAGAUGCUCUUUUUCUGUGAUACCUUCUUAAAACAAUGAGACAAGAGCUAAAAGAUACCUGUCAUUUUUCCUAGUCUGGAACCAAGCCUCCUCCUUAUUCCCAUGAUGUAUUUACAUUACUUCCAUUUCUCAAAAUCCGCCUGUCAUUGUAAAUACUCAUUGUUUAUCUUUUAUGUUCAAUCUGUUAUUCACAUGUAUGGCUCUCAGAGAGUUGGAAGAUCUUAAAGUUGGAGGGAGAGGACUUCUGGACUGAAUAAGGCAGGCAGAUCAACUCUCUGUAUGUACUCCAGCAAAACCCUCAAAAUUGGACAAGGCUGAAUAAUGAUCAGGAAAUCCAAAGAGCAACUACAACAAACUGAGACUUUCCAAGGAGCAAAGAUGCUGCAGCAUUUGGGGGGAAGGAGCUCUGUAUGGAAAUGCAUUUCAGGAUUCACCUAUAAUGUUCACUGAGUUUCCCACGAGAUGAAGGUAUCUCCCCAAAGAUGGAGGCCACAGGAAUCUUGGACCUUAGAUAAGAGACAAGAUUCAGCUCAACAGUGAAAAAUGGUGAUACUACUGAGUCCCCAGGAUUAUUCUCCCUGGGUAUUAGGUGGUGGGUUCAGUAGAUUUUGAGAGCCAGGCCUAGAGAUGGGAUUGGAUUUAAAUCUGGCCUCAGACACUUCCUAGCUAUGUGACCCUGAACAAGUCACUUAACCCCCAUCGCCAAGCCCUUACCACUCUUCUGCCUUGAAACCAAUACAUAGUAUUGAUUUUAAGAUGGAAGGGAAAGGGUUUAAAAAAAAUAAUAAACUAAGGGUGGUGGCAUGGAGGUUGCAGAAAUAGAUGGGAUGCAUUCAGGAAAAUAAUUUCUUCUUUUGUAAGUUAACUUACCCCAG